rnacentral:rRNA from 1 species
UACGUAGGGUGCAAGCGUUAAUCGGAAUUACUGGGCGUAAAGCGUGACGCAGGCGGUUAUGUAAGACAGUUGUGAAAUCCCCGGGCUCAACCCUGGGAACUGCAUCUGUGACUGCAUAGCUAGAGUACGGUAGAGGGGGAUGGAAUUCCGCGUGUAGCAGUGAAAUGCGUAGAUAUGCGGAGGAACACCGAUGGCGAAGGCAAUCCCCUGGACCUGUACUGACGCUCAUGCACGAAAGCGUGGGGGAGCAAACAGG